rnacentral:rRNA from 1 species
GACGAACGCUGGCGGCGUGCUUAACACAUGCAAGUCGAACGGAAAGGCCCUGCUUGCAGGGUACUCGAGUGGCGAACGGGUGAGUAACACGUGGGUGAUCUGCCCUGCACUUCGGGAUAAGCCUGGGAAACUGGGUCUAAUACCGGAUAGGAGCCAUUUUUAGUGUGAUGGUUGGAAAGUUUUUUCGGUGUAGGAUGAGCUCGCGGCCUAUCAGCUUGUUGGUGGGGUAAUGGCCUACCAAGGCGGCGACGGGUAGCCGGCCUGAGAGGGUGGACGGCCACAUGGGGACUGAGAUACGGCCCAGACUCCUACGGGAGGCAACAGUGGGGAAUAUUGCACAAUGGGCGCAAGCCUGAUGCAGCGACGCCGCGUGGGGGAUGACGGCCUUCGGGUUGUAAACUCCUUUCGCUAGGGACGAAGCUUUUUGUGACGGUACCUAGAUAAGAAGCACCGGCUAACUACG